rnacentral:lncRNA from 1 species
CAGUUUUAAGUUUAACUUUAUUCAUGCUCCAGAAACUUUCUGAAGAGGAAAGAAAUAGUACUUGGAUCUUAUCUUCCAUUGAAGAUUUCUUUUGUUUACAGGUAUUGAUGAAAUAAUCCCCACAGUAAAUAAAAGAAGUAUUCAGUUUCUUUGAGAAAAGUGAAGUAACCAACAGCUUAAUGAGUUCCCCCAGCUCACACAAUAUAUUUGUGCUCUGUUUAGAAACACAGAUGAGACCUUUCCACUAGCUGCAAGCCCUCCUUUCCUGAAAGUUCCUCGAGAAAAUAACAUCUGGAUUAUGAGUCAAGAAAUUCUUCAACCUAGCAAAGCAAAGUUUGUAGUGCAGAAGCAGAUAAGGUUUGAAUGCUGCUAAUAAGCUAAUCAGUGAAUCUCCAUUUCUCCUGAUUUUUGAUGUAUUGGAACAAUUGACCUGAAGUUUCUGAUUAAAUUGAGUAUUUCAGCAAAUACUUAUUAAUCAAGCCCACUUGUUUUUUACCAAGCUUGAACAAAUGUUCUGAUCAUAAGCAGUUAAUAUGCUUUUAGUUAAAAACAGCAUAUAGCCAUAAUUCAGGAUACUAUUGAAAAUGUAACUAAAUAAUGUAUAGGUCCAUCUUAAAGAAACCUUGUGAGUAGCAGUUUAUUUUUACUAUUAAAGUAUGAUUUUUUUUUUUACUGGUAACAAAUAUUAAGAGUGGUCAGGAUUCAACCUACAGUGUUCAGGAAAGAAAUUGUGAGUUAUUACCACCAGCCGCAUCCUGAAAAUGGUCACAACCAGCAGACUGACAGUCAAAUUGGACUCUUUGGCUGAACUGCUGCAGUAAUGCCAUAUUGCUAAUGACUAAUUUCCACAGCAGUGAGUUUUCUUUCUGGUGCUGUUUAUUUUUCCCUUGAUUCUUUCAUAGGACUCUGGUUGUCUUUUAGGCAUAAUACUGUCUUGCUAAAGUGUGCUUAACAGUCUAUAAUGGCUGUUUAAAGCAUUUUUUUUCUUUUCUAUAAUUUUUACAACAUGCUUAGAAGUAGAAUACAGCGCAUUGGAUUAGAAAAUGUGUUUAUGCCCAGCUUGGGUAUUAACUGCUCCUGGAGGGGGUUCUCAAUACUUAUCUAUUUCAAACCACAGGUUUCUCUUUGAAAGGCAGUCCUUUGGCUAAUCCAUCCUUUUACUCUGUGUUGGACUUGAACACCAAUGCUCACAGAGCCAGAAGUGCUCUUCCACAGACACACAGUUUCUCUAAAAUGUAGAAGAAUGAUCUUUUCCCAGCAAAGUCACAAGACAGGGAUCUGCUCAGACUGCUGAAGGAAGACUUACGAAAGAGCCUGGCAAGGUUAAAAAAAAAAAAA